rnacentral:lncRNA from 1 species
AGAGACCCAGAUCAGACUUCUUCCAUGGCUGCGCUUGCUGGUCUCCACACAAUGAGAAAUAGAUACUUAAGGUUGCUGCCAUACAUCAAUGAGUGUGAACCCCCCUCCACAGUGUCUUGUGGAAAAUUUGCACAGUGCUGGAACACAGAUGGGAGCUACUACUGCACAUGCAGCCCAGGAUACCAACUUGUUUCUGGGGCAACGAUGUUCAGGAAAGAAAGUGAGAACACAUGUCAAGUUGUCAAGCCUGAGAAUACCACAAAGGACCAGGACUCAGAAAAAUGUUGUGUCAGACCUGAGCAGGAUGACAAGAACACCCCAACAUACACACUUGGAGAUCUGGAUAAACAGAAGAGGCUCCCAUCUGGACCAGACAGCAACAGAGAUCAUCAUAAGGAACCAUUGCCACAGGGCCAAACCUCUCCCAAGGAGGUCAAACCAGGCUCCAUGGGGGGCCAGACUGAUGGGGGACAGAAGAAGGCUAAGCCCCACUGGCAAGAAGCCAAAGGGAUCAUCUUCCCCACCUGGGCUGCACCCUCAAGAGUCAAGAGCAAGAGGCUCUCCCGCUUCUUUGACAGGGUCCACUAUCUGAGUAGAAACUUCAAUUCAGCCUCUGUCCAGAGCACUGUCCAGGAAGUCAUACAGGAAGUGGAUGAAAUGCUGGAGAGCCCCGGGGACCUGGGAAACCUGGCCCCCACAGAGCAGCACUCUGUGGCCACUAACCUGCUCUUUGGCCUGGAGAAUGUCCUAAGAGGGCUGAGCAAGGCCCUGCACAAUGGGUCUGCGACAUUCACUUCAUC